UACGGGAGGCAGCAGUGGGGAAUAUUGCACAAUGGGCGAAAGCCUGAUGCAGCUAUGCCGCGUGUAUGAAGAAGGCCUUAGGGUUGUAAAGUACUUUCAUCGGGGAGGAAAAACAAAACUAAUAAUUUUAUUUCUUGACGUUACCCGAAAAAGAAGCACCGGCUAACUCCGUGCCAGCAGCCGCGGUAAUACGGAGGGUGCUAGCGUUAAUCAGAAUUACUGGGCGUAAAGAGCACGUAGGUGGUUUUUUUAAGUCAGAUGUGAAAUCCCUGGGCUUAACCUAGGAACUGCAUUUUGAAACUGAAAUACUAGAGUAUCGUAGAGGGAGGUAGAAUUCUAGGUGUAGCGGUGAAAUGCGUAGAUAUCUGGAGGAAUACCUGUGGCGAAAGCGGCCUCCUAAACGAAUACUGACACUGAGGUGCGAAAGCGUGGGGAGCGAAACAGGGAUUAGAU
rnacentral:rRNA from 1 species